rnacentral:rRNA from 1 species
UGGGGCUAAUACCGGAUAUGACCGCUGACCGCAUGGUCUGGUGGUGGAAAGAUUUAUCGGCUGGGGAUGGGCCCGCGGCCUAUCAGCUUGUUGGUGGGGUAGUGGCCUACCAAGGCGACGACGGGUAGCCGGCCUGAGAGGGUGACCGGCCACACUGGGACUGAGACACGGCCCAGACUCCUACGGGAGGCAGCAGUGGGGAAUAUUGCGCAAUGGGCGAAAGCCUGACGCAGCGACGCCGCGUGGGGGAUGACGGCCUUCGGGUUGUAAACCUCUUUCAGCAGGGACGAAGCGAAAGUGACGGUACCUGCAGAAGAAGCACCGGCCAACUACGUGCCAGCAGCCGCGGUAAUACGUAGGGUGCAAGCGUUGUCCGGAAUUAUUGGGCGUAAAGAGCUCGUAGGCGGUUUGUUGCGUCGGCUGUGAAAUCCCGAGGCUCAACCUCGGGUCUGCAGUCGAUACGAGCAAACUAGAGUGUUGCAGGGGAGACUGGAAUUCCUGGUGUAGCGGUGAAAUGCGCAGAUAUCAGGAGGAACACCGGUGGC